AAAAACAUGGCCUUUUGAUUUUAAUUUAAGGUCUAACCUGCUCAAUGAGUUUUAAAUAGCCGCAGUAUCUUAACUGUGCAAAGGUAGCAUAAUCAUUAGUUUUUUAAUUGAAAGCUGGAAUGAAGGGUUGAAUGAGAAAAUAUCUGUCUCUAUAAAAAUUAAAUAGAAUUUUAUUUUUAAGUAAAAAAGCUUAAAUGAUAAUAAAAGACGAGAAGACCCUAUAGAGUUUUAUAUUUUUAAAUUAUAUUUUCUUUUAGUAUUUUAAAAUUUAUUUUUUUAUAGUAUUUAGUUGGGGUGAUUGGAAAAUUAAAUAAACUUUUCUUUAAAAUUUACAUUUGUAUAUGAUAUUAUGAUCCUUUAAUAAAGAUUACAAGAUAAAAUUACCUUAGGGAUAACAGCGUAAUUUUUUUUGAGAGUUCUUAUCGAAAAAAAAGAUUGCGACCUCGAUGUUGGAUUAAAAUAAAUUUUUGGUGUAGGAGCUAAAAAAAUUAGGUCUGUUCGACCUUUAAAAUUUUACUUGAUCUGAGUU
rnacentral:rRNA from 1 species